UACAGAGGUCUCAAGCGUUGUUCGGAUUCAUUGGGCGUAAAGGGUGCGCAGGUGGCGAGGCAAGUCGGAUGUGAAAUCCCGGGGCUCAACCCCGGAACUGCAUUCGAUACUGCCUUGCUAGAGUGCUGGAGAGGAGAUUGGAAUUUACGGUGUAGCAGUGAAAUGCGCAGAUAUCAGGAGGAACACCAAUGGCGAAGGCAGCACUCUGGGACGUGACUGACGCUGAGACGCGAAAGCGUGGGGAGCAAACAGG
rnacentral:rRNA from 1 species